rnacentral:snRNA from 1 species
GUCGAUCCUAAGAGUCGGGG